AGAAAAGCCUCUAGUGAGAUCUAGGUGCCCGUACCGCAAACCGACACAGGUAGGCGAGCAGAGCAUGCUAAGGCGCGCGGAAGAACUCUCGUUAAGGAACUCGGCAAAAUGACCCCGUAACUUCGGGAGAAGGGGUGCCUCGGUAGGGUGAAUAGCCCGAGGGGGCCGCAGUGAAAAGGCCCAAGCGACUGUUUAGCAAAAACACAGGUCUGUGCGAAGCCGUAAGGCGAAGUAUACGGGCUGACGCCUGCCCGGUGCUGGAAGGUUAAGGGGAGCGGUUAGGAGCAAUCCGAAGCUGUGAACCGAAGCCCCAGUAAACGGCGGCCGUAACUAUAACGGUCCUAAGGUAGCGAAAUUCCUUGUCAGGUAAAUUCUGACCCGCACGAAUGGCGUAACGACUUGGGCGCUGUCUCAACGAGAGAUCCGGUGAAAUUUUAAUACCUGUGAAGAUGCAGGUUACCCGCGACAAGACGGAAAGACCCCAUGGAGCUUUACUGCAGCUUGAUAUUGGACUUUGGUACGAUCUGUACAGGAUAGGUGGGAGCCAUUGAAGCAUGAGCGCCAGCUUGUGUGGAGGCGACGUUGGGAUACCACCCUGAUCGUAUCGGAGUUCUAACCUGCUACCGUGAAACCGGUAGAGGGACCGUGUCAGGCGGGCAGUUUGACUGGGGCGGUCGCCUCCUAAAAUGUAACGGAGGCGCCCAAAGGUUCCCUCAGAAUGGUUGGAAAUCAUUCGAAGAGUGCAAAGGCAUAAGGGAGCUUGACUGCGAGACCUACAAGUCGAGCAGGGACGAAAGUCGGGCUUAGUGAUCCGGUGGUACCGAAUGGAAGGGCCAUCGCUCAACGGAUAAAAGCUACCCUGGGGAUAACAGGCUUAUCUCCCCCAAGAGUCCACAUCGACGGGGAGGUUUGGCACCUCGAUGUCGGCUCAUCGCAUCCUGGGGCUGAAGUAGGUCCCAAGGGUUGGGCUGUUCGCCCAUUAAAGCGGUACGCGAGCUGGGUUCAGAACGUCGUGAGACAGUUCGGUCCCUAUCUGUCGCGGGCGCAGGAAAUUUGAGAGGAGCUGUCCUUAGUACGAGAGGACCGGGAUGGACGUACCGCUGGUGUACCAGUUGUUCCGCCAGGAGCACCGCUGGGUAGCCAAGUACGGACGGGAUAAGCGCUGAAAGCAUCUAAGCGUGAAGCCCCCCUCAAGAUGAGAUUUCCCAGUAUGUAAGACCCCUUGAAGACGACGAGGUUGAUAGGUUCGGGGUGGAAGCACAGCAAUGUGUG
rnacentral:rRNA from 1 species